AAUCAUCAGACACAGAGAGCCAUCCACAUGAUCCACCUUGAUAAAGAUUCUGGCAACACUUGAGUGGAAGAUGAAAACUAAAGUGAAUGUAAAGAGAUUCCAUGAGUCAGCCAUGCCAUGACUUGUAGUUUUGGCAUCAGCCUUUCAAAAUUGGGCGUUCCCCUGUGAUGUUUAAUUGGCUCUCGGAAACACAGUUUAAAACAAGUUUUGGACAUAGGCGCACGGAACAAAACCAGCUUCGGUGGGGAAUUCAUUCUGGCUGCAAAAAGAAGGUGGUGAGAGAAGCCUUCCUCAUGAGGCAUCAGAUGGAAGGAGGUCUGAACCAAAAAGCCAGGCCCACACCCUUUGAGGAUAUUUGAAAUCCACACCCAGAUCUGAAAGUGAAUUGUGAAGCUUGGCAGCUUUUGGUAAGGCCUGGAAAAAAGAACGUGUCAAGAUCCCAACCAUGAAUGAAAACGAUAAUACAGCAAAGGUGUAUUACGUAAAUCUGUACUGCAGUGAAGCCCUUGAUAAGUUAAAUGAGAGCUGAAGAGUAGGCUUUGAAGAUUAUGGUUGAGAUUCUGUGUUGAGCCUGUAAGAGACACAGUGCAGAAUUCGUGGCCCAGAGGAAUGGUGGCAGGGAGGGUGGGGAUGGGGGAGGGGGCUGGCUAAGGUGUCUUUAAGCCACCCUUGUACUCUGCUGAUCCUGGAGAGGCCCUUGGCAUAAUGCAGACAGCUAUUUAAGUUGUGGCAGCCUCCUUGGGCAGCCUUAUGGGCUGCAGUGCUGCCCAGAAUCUCUGCAGUGCAGUGGUCUUGUCCUUGAUGUGCCCCUACAUCAUCCAGCCUGAGCUGUUUGACCCCUCUGCCAGGGCAUGAGACUGUAUCACAAGGCAGCCUUAUUACAGCUGUCAUCCAGAGUGCAGUGCCUGCACCUGGGGAAUGUCCACCAAGCAGAACGGGGGCUUUUAUGGCCCUUUGACAUCACUCUGGCUCUUCUGGGUGGCAAGAAGGGGCUGAAGCAGGUGGAGUGAGGUCAGGAGCUCACCCUAUGUGCUUUGACUAGUGUAAACCACAGACAUUUUUAUCGUGGAACAAAUACUUGAGUAGUAAGCACAGUCGGGAAAGGAACUGAAAUAAUUCCCUGAUGGAUUUUAUUUUCGAACAGGUCAACCUAUCCUAAAUUCUCAAAAACUAAGAGACAAUCUUCACUCGUUGAUAUAUUUGCUUUCCACAACCAACUCUCUGUAUAACUUUUUAUGGGUGAUAUACCUGAAUAUUUGGAUGCUAAUAUCUAAAUUAUCUCAUUACAUUUGUUAAUCAUAUUUGGGUUAUUGCUGAUUAUGUACUCUAUGUAUUGUAUUACUUUUAAACCAAUGUUUGUACUUUUGAAUAAUUUAAGCACUAUAUCCAGAUGUACAGAGACUCUUCUCUUAACCUACGGAUUAUAUAAUUUUAACAUUAGCUUUAAUAUAAAUUUUAAAUGCAGCUUCGCCUUGUCAAACGUGUCAAUGACCUGAAGAUAACCAGCAGUGAGUUAACUAUGGUAAAAACUCUAGUGUAGACAAGCCCGUGGCAAGAGUUGCAUACAAAUCUCUGACCCAACUCUGCAGACAUUUCAUAUGCAGACAUCCGAUUGGCAUUGAAAGGACUGAUCUUGAAAUCCUUUCACAGGCAAAGCUCCCAUUAAUUUCAGUCAUCCCCAAUAGGAAACAUGUAGAUUGACUUCUUGGACCAAUACUGGAAACAGAGUAGACCUGGGGACUAGAUAUGUUAUUUUCCUUGUGCCUCCUUAUCUCUUGAUCAGUCUAUCGACUAUCCACAUAUAUGCUUCUCUUAGACCCAUUUUAAGGGCUUCUCCUUGUUUUUCCAGUAACUCAUCCAGCCCCCAUCAACGUCAACCUGCAAGAGAUUUUGUCUCCUGCUUAGAAGACACUAGCCUACACACACAAUCUUCAAAACCCGCUCUUCAACUCUCAUUUACCUUUUCAAGUGCUUCACUGAAGCACAGAUUUACAAAAUACAGCCAUAUUAUCUUUUCAUUCAUUGUCAUGAACUUGACAUAUUCAUCUUUUAAGGUUUUACCAAAAGCUAUCAAGCUUCCUAUAAAAUGGGAAGGUGGUUUUAUAUAGAUCUGGAAAAGGGAUUUUUUCAUUUGGCCUCUGAACACUUUCAUGUGGGAUAUCUGGAUAAUUUAUGAUCAGAGAUAGGUCCAAGCCACCAGAUUUAAAAGUGUCUGUUUGCCUUAUAAACCUUAAAACUUGCAUCCAGAAACAAACAUCAGGGGAGUGUCCAGACUAGACUUUAAAAACAUGUUAGCUACCAUGAGUUAACCUGCAAUCAAUUUAGAAGUAAAAGCGCUAGUGUAGACAUAUCCUGUGAGACUGCUGUUUACAACGAGACUUUCAUUUACAUGCUGAUGUGUGUACAUCAUUAACACAUGCCACAUUCCCUGAAUUUCAAACAAACUUAUGGAAGCCGGCCAGCAAAAAGCACAAACUCAGAUUUUACCAGACUUUACAAAGACUGUUAGAUGAUGUACCACUUCUUUUACUAACUAUGGACUGUGAAAAUACUUGUCCUGGGUAAAUUGCACAUCAGGGUGCAGUAUACAUACAACUCUUUAAGGUUUUGCUAAUAAAUGCAUGAAAAUAUUUGGGGAGACUGUAUGACUAUAUAAACUGUUAUAUAUAAACUGUUAUAUAUAAACUCUUUUUUAAAAAAAAAUC